GACGAACGCUGGCGGCGUGCUUAACACAUGCAAGUCGAACGGAAAGGCCCUGCUUUUGUGGGGUGCUCGAGUGGCGAACGGGUGAGUAACACGUGAGUAACCUGCCCUUGACUUUGGGAUAACUUCAGGAAACUGGGGCUAAUACCGGAUAGGAGCUCCUGCUGCAUGGUGGGGUUGGAAAGUUUCGGCGGUUGGGGAUGGACUGGCGGCUUAUCAGCUUGUUGGGGGGGUAGUGGCUUACCAAGGCUUUGACGGGUAGCCGGCCUGAGAGGGUGACCGGCCACAUUGGGACUGAGAUACGGCCCAGACUCCUACGGGAGGCAGCAGUGGGGAAUAUUGCACAAUGGGCGGAAGCCUGAUGCAGCAACGCCGCGUGCGGGAUGACGGCCUUCGGGUUGUAAACCGCUUUCGCCUGUGACGAAGCGUGAGUGACGGUAAUGGGUAAAGAAGCACCGGCUAACUACGUG
rnacentral:rRNA from 1 species